GUGGAAGUAGCUCAGUUGGUUAGAGCACCAGACUGUGGCUCUGGGGGUCGUGGGUUCAAGCCCCAUCUUCCACC
rnacentral:tRNA from 1 species